rnacentral:rRNA from 1 species
UACGAAGGGGGCUAGCGUUGCUCGGAAUCACUGGGCGUAAAGCGCACGUAGGCGGAUUGCUAAGUCAGGGGUGAAAUCCUGGAGCUCAACUCCAGAACUGCCUUUGAUACUGGGGAUCUCGAGUCCGGAAGAGGUGAGUGGAACUGCGAGUGUAGAGGUGAAAUUCGUAGAUAUUCGCAAGAACACCAGUGGCGAAGGCGGCUCACUGGCCCGAUACUGACGCUGAGGUGCGAAAGCGUGGGGAGCAAACAGG